rnacentral:lncRNA from 1 species
GGGCUUUGCUCAACAAGGUCGUUCGGUGACCUAUAGUUGUUAAUUUCUGUGUCAUUUUGGUCUCUUGUGGAGAGUUGUCUCAUUGGCAAUCAUACCACAUCUUCUUUUUUAUAUUUAUUAUCAGCAUUGAAAUAUUAUUUCACAGUAUUUGAACAUCAGAUUUUGACCCAAUUAAUAGUACCUCCCCUCAGCAUUCACUGGAAGGUUUAUUAUCUCUAAUGGUCAAAGCUUGUAGUUCUUCAAUAAGUUGUAAUAUCAUGAAAUUAAAUCUCCUCUAUUGC